rnacentral:rRNA from 1 species
UACGUAGGGUGCGAGCGUUGUCCGGAAUUAUUGGGCGUAAAGAGCUCGUAGGCGGCGUGUCACGUCGGAUGUGAAAGCCCGGGGCUUAACCCCGGGUCUGCAUUCGAUACGGGCAUGCUGGAGUUCGGCAGGGGAGAUCGGAAUUCCUGGUGUAGCGGUGAAAUGCGCAGAUAUCAGGAGGAACACCGGUGGCGAAGGCGGAUCUCUGGGCCGAUACUGACGCUGAGGUGCGAAAGCUAGGGGAGCGAACAGG